GGGGGGGACUGUACGCGCGCUACACUGACGGAGCCAGCGAGUACUCCCUUGGCCGGAAGGCCCGGGUAAUCUUGUUAAACUCCGUCGUGCUGGGGACAGAGCAUUGCAAUUAUUGCUCUUCAACGAGGAAUCCCUAGUAAGCGCAAGUCAUCAGCUUGCGUUGAUUAC
rnacentral:ncRNA from 1 species